GUCUAUGGCCAUGCUACCCUGAACAAGCCCAAUCCCGUCUGAUCUCGGAAGCUAAGCAGGGUUGGGCUUGGUUAGUACUUGGAUGAGAGACCACCUAGGAAGACUGGAUGCUAUAGGCA
rnacentral:rRNA from 1 species